rnacentral:rRNA from 1 species
UACGUAGGGUGCGAGCAUUAAUCGGAUUUAUUGGGCGUAAAGGGCGCGUAGGCGGGGAUGUAAGUCAGAUGUGAAAUCCCGGGGCUCAACCCCGGAACAGCAUUUGAAACUACAUUUCUAGAGGGUAGGCGGAGAAAACGGAAUUCCACAAGUAGCGGUGAAAUGCGUAGAUAUGUGGAAGAACACCGGUGGCGAAGGCGGUUUUCUAGCUUAUACCUGACGCUAAUGCGCGAAAGCAAGGGGAGCAAACAGG